rnacentral:rRNA from 1 species
AUUGAACGCUGGCGGCAGGCUUAACACAUGCAAGUCGAGCGGAGCGAGGGUGCUUGCACCUUAGCUUAGCGGCGGACGGGUGAGUAAUGCUUAGGAAUCUGCCUAUUAGUGGGGGACAACAUUCCGAAAGGAAUGCUAAUACCGCAUACGCCCUACGGGGGAAAGCAGGGGAUCUUCGGACCUUGCGCUAAUAGAUGAGCCUAAGUCGGAUUAGCUAGUUGGUGGGGUAAAGGCAUACCAAGGCGACGAUCUGUAGCGGGUCUGAGAGGAUGAUCCGCCACACUGGGACUGAGACACGGCCCAGACUCCUACGGGAGGCAGCAGUGGGAAUAUUGGACAAUGGGCGGAAGCCUGAUCCAGCCAUGCCGCGUGUGUGAAGAAGGCCUUUUGGUUGUAAAGCACUUUAAGCGAGGAGGAGGCUCUUAAGGUUAAUACCCUUGAUGAGUGGACGUUACUCGCAGAAUAAGCACCGGCUAACUCUGUGCCAGCCGCCGCAGUAACAC